CUAAGUCCUAUGCUCCACUGAAAGAAACCAGGGCUCCUUGAAGAAACAGCUGAUUCCAGGAUUGUGGGCAGGGAAAAUACAAGAGGAGCUUGAAACACCUGUUGUACCAGAAAGUAGGGAAGUGGUCCAAGAACGGUGGUCACAUGUGAAAGACACAAGAGCCAGCUUGAAGGGACUCCCACUGGUCAAGAAGGCCUGGGUGUAAGCCCUGCCUCCAUCAAUCUCAAGACAUGGAACCUCAGGAAAGGGAGGGAGGCACCGCUGAGGACGUGCACAACUAUGAGGGCAUCUUUACCCAGUUCUUCACUGUAAGUCAUUAUUACCCUGGACUCAAACUGUUUGGAGACCUGGCUGGGCUCUGAGUGAACCUUCAGUUAGGAAGCCACAGCAGAAUCUACUGAAGCAAGCUGCAGACUGCUGGCACUUGAUGUCGCACCAGUUCAGUUUGGUUUCAUUUUCCUCCCCAGCUGGCUCUUGAAAUACUCCUCUAGAUUGCAAAACAAUGCUGUGACCCUCUGACGGUCCCCAAACGUGGGUUAUCAGAAUAUCCUGAAGCUCCAUAGUAGAUUCCCUGGGCCACCUUUCUUAAGCCUGUCCUGUACCACUGGGGCACUCCCGGAACACGCAUUCUAACCAGCGCCUCGCGCGGACCGAGCUGGUUCCCUCUGAAAGAGGUGCGGUGAGUCAAGCACUUGGCAGGUGCUAUCCGUGUAGGUUUAUCUUUCUCUCCCAGGUCUUUUCUGUAGACAUGCAAUUUGGGAAGGCUGCCUCGCAUCAGUGAAAAGGAAUCCACUCUGGCUUUCUACCAGCCUUGGUUGGAAACUUGCAGAGAGGCAGGAUAUCAAACCUGUGAGCCUGUGUCCUCAUCUGUAAGAGGAAGCUAUUGAUCACACCUACUGGCUUUCCAUUAAACAAACAAAAGAACCAUAACCCACGGUGAGAAAUACAUUUGCAUUCUGGCCCAGUACACUUAUACUCCUAUGAGAGUGUAUAACAAACUUUCCCAAAACAAU